AGAGUUUGAUCCUGGCUCAGAUUGAACGCUGGCGGCAGGCCUAACACAUGCAAGUCGAGCGCGAAAGUCUUCGGAUGAGUAAAGCGGCGAACGGGUGAGUAACGCGUGGGAAUCUGCCCAGUAUGGGGGACAACAGUCGGAAACGACUGCUAAUACCGCAUACGCCCUACGGGGAAAGGGGGGGAUCUUCGGACCUCUCGCUAUUGGAUGAGCCCGCGUCGGAUUAGCUAGUUGGUAGGGUAAAGGCCUACCAAGGCUACGAUCCGUAACUGGUCUGAGAGGAUGAUCAGUCACACUGGAACUGAGACACGGUCCAGACUCCUACGGGAGGCAGCAGUAGGGAAUAUUGGACAAUGGGGGCAACCCUGAUCCAGCCAUGCCGCGUGUGUGAAGAAGGCCCUUGGGUUGUAAAGCACUUUCAGUGGGGAGAAAAGUCUGUUACUUAAUACGUGAUGGAAUUGAUGUUACCCACAGAAGAAGCACCGGCUAACUCCGUG
rnacentral:rRNA from 1 species